rnacentral:rRNA from 1 species
UACGUAGGGGGCAAGCGUUGUCCGGAAUCAUUGGGCGUAAAGAGCGUGUAGGCGGCCUGAUAAGUCCGCUGUGAAAGUCCAGGGCUCAACCCUGGAAUGCCGGUGGAAACUGUCAGGCUCGAGUCCGGAAGAGGCGAGUGGAAUUCCUGGUGUAGCGGUGAAAUGCGCAGAUAUCAGGAGGAACACCAAUGGCGAAGGCAGCUCGCUGGGACGGUACUGACGCUGAGACGCGAAAGCGUGGGGAGCGAACAGG